rnacentral:rRNA from 1 species
GAUGAACGCUGGCGGCGUGCCUAAUACAUGCAAGUCGAGCGAACAGACGAGGAGCUUGCUCCUUCGACGUUAGCGGCGGACGGGUGAGUAACACGUAGGUAACCUACCUAUAAGACUGGGAUAACUUCGGGAAACCGGAGCUAAUACCGGAUAAUAUUUCGAACCGCAUGGUUCGAUAGUGAAAGAUGGCUUUGCUAUCACUUAUAGAUGGACCUGCGCCGUAUUAGCUAGUUGGUAAGGUAACGGCUUACCAAGGCAACGAUACGUAGCCGACCUGAGAGGGUGAUCGGCCACACGGGAACUGAGACACGGUCCAGACUCCUAAGGGAGGCAGCAGUAGGGAAUCUUCCGCAAUGGGCGAAAGCCUGACGGAGCAACGCCGCGUGAGUGAUGAAGGUCUUCGGAUCGUAAAACUCUGUUAUUAGGGAAGAACAAACGUGUAAGUAACUGUGCACGUCUUGACGGUACCUAAUCAGAAAGCCACGGCUAACUACGUG